rnacentral:rRNA from 1 species
UUAACACAUGCAAGUCGAACGAAGCACUCUAUUUGAUUUUCUUCGGAAAUGAAGAUUUUGUGACUGAGUGGCGGACGGGUGAGUAACGCGUGGGUAACCUGCCUCAUACAGGGGGAUAACAGUUGGAAACGACUGCUAAUACCGCAUAAGCGCACAGGAUUGCAUGAUCCGGUGUGAAAAACUCCGGUGGUAUGAGAUGGACCCGCGUCUGAUUAGCCAGUUGGCAGGGUAACGGCCUACCAAAGCGACGAUCAGUAGCCGACCUGAGAGGGUGACCGGCCACAUUGGGACUGAGACACGGCCCAAACUCCUACGGGAGGCAGCAGUGGGGAAUAUUGCACAAUGGGGGAAACCCUGAUGCAGCGACGCCGCGUGAGCGAAGAAGUAUUUCGGUAUGUAAAGCUCUAUCAGCAGGGAAGAAGAAUGACGGUACCUGACUAAGAAGCACCGGCUAAAUACGUGCCAGCAGCCGCGGUAAUACGUAUGGUGCAAGCGUUAUCCGGAUUUACUGGGUGUAAGGGGAGCGCAGGCGGUGCGGCAAGUCUGAUGUGAAAGCCCGGGGCUCAACCCCGGUACUGCAUUGGAAACUGUCGUACUAGAGUGUCGGAGGGGUAAGUGGAAUUCCUAGUGUAGCGGUGAAAUGCGUAGAUAUUAGGAGGACACCAGUGGCGAAGGCGGCUUACUGGACG